rnacentral:lncRNA from 1 species
AAAUCCUGAAGAUCGAUAAAGUGCCGCGGAUUCUCACUGUUGCUAGAGAAGAUUACUGGGACAAAUACUGUCCAUCAAACUUGGUCGAUACUACUCUGAAUUUCUCUCUUUUUAAUUAUGCUCCCGCCACAGGCAACUUGACUCUCUACUACGGCUGUCCUGCCAACUUUAUGAAUGAUAUGUUAGUGAAGCCGUUGCUGGAUCCCUAUGAGUUCCGUUGCAACUCAGAUGAAUCAAACGCCGCAGAUAACUACUAUUACUCCUGGGAAUUUAGUAGUAUCUUCAAUAACAGCUUAAUUGAGGCCGUGAAAGCUUACCUCGGAACGUGUGGGAAGAGCGUUCUGCUGCCUCUGCAGCAACCAACAGUUGAGUAUUUGGUGAAAAAUCCGGCUUCGGAAAAUCUGGAUAGAGCUCUUCGGGAAGGUUUUGGGCUGCAAUGGUUUGCAAAUAAUAGUCUCUGCGACACGUGUGAACAAUCAAAAGGAGAGUGUGCGUAUUCUGCUAGGACGGGUCAAUUCAAUUGUUAUUGCCCUGAUAAAGCUUAUGCCGAUUCCUGUCCACCCCAAGAAGGUAAGUCCGUUCUCCUGAUUGUUCUGUUAGCAUCUCAGUAAGGAUUCCAUCCAUUAGGUUCAAGGUUACUUAGUUUUAAUUUAACCUUACCCAAUAUUCAUUCAGCAAAAAUUCUUGACUUUUCAUUGAAGUUCGGUAAUUGGUUGAGAAUACUCGACUUAAAUUGAAAUGAAAAUUUUCCUUGUAAUUAAGUCAGGUAAAAAGUCGAGUAUACUCGACUUUGGUUGUAUUAUUAUGUAGAAGUCAUGAGAAAGGAAGUAAAUGUAAAUAAAUAAUUUUUUUAGGUUAUUUUUGACUUUUUAUACUUUUAGGAGGUAUAUAUAUGUAAUGUGGUAUAGAUUUGACAUUUAAGGACAAAUGAGAUAUAUUUAAAUAAAAAACCCACAAAACGGAGCCUUGUGAGCUAUGUCUGUUUGGCAAUUCAUAAUUCUCUCUUUUAUUUUUUUUUAAAUUUUUUCCCCCUAUGUCGGCUUUGACCUAUGCGGUGAUCUAGAAUAUGUCAUCAUCAGCCUACCGUGCUAACCUAACCUAGUAACCAUUUAAUAAUUCAUUUGAUGGGAAUUGUUUUUUUUUUCUUUGUAAGUUUUAAAAUAUUAAACAUAGGCAUCAUUUGUUGACUUUAGUUUCGUUCCAAUGCAACAUGUGAGUUCAGGUAUUCAAUAUUCAACUUCAUACUAUGCCUUCUAAUUUUCAAAUUUCCAAAGCCCAUGGGAAAAUAACCAAACGCGCUUCAUACUCGUUUAGGCCAGCGAAUAUCAGCAUUUGCAGCACGUUCCUUGGAGAUCAAAGCUGAAAUUGACCAGCCCACUUUCUUUCCACAGAAGGUUCCCCCCAUUUUCAUCACCCCCACUUCGUCAAAGCGAAAAAAUUAAUAAUUUAGUAUCACAGAGAAUGAGAAAUUAAAACCAAUUCGUUUCUUCUAAAUUUUAUAUCUAAUUGCUUGCUCUUUCAAAAUGGGACUCCGACUCCAUCUCCAUCUUGGUCCAAGCAUGAUCGGCUUGUUUUUCUUCGUCAUAAAUAUCAUUUUCGUCUAUGUUCCACCUCCUGUGUCCGCCAAUUAUGAGGAAUAUAAAAACUGCAGCGCCCCGUUUCGUUGUGCUAACAGAGACGAUAUUGGUUAUCCCUUCUGGGGAGGAAAUCGUCCAGAAUAUUGUGGCUACCCGGGAUUUGAGUUGAAUUGCGAGGAAGAUUUUCCUGAGAUGAAAAUCUUAAACAUUACUUACAAAAUCCUGAAGAUCGAUAAAGUGCCGCGGAUUCUCACUGUUGCUAGAGAAGAUUACUGGGACAAAUACUGUCCAUCAAACUUGGUCGAUACUACUCUGAAUUUCUCUCUUUUUAAUUAUGCUCCCGCCACAGGCAACUUGACUCUCUACUACGGCUGUCCUGCCAACUUUAUGAAUGAUAUGUUAGUGAAGCCGUUGCUGGAUCCCUAUGAGUUCCGUUGCAACUCAGAUGAAUCAAACGCCGCAGAUAACUACUAUUACUCCUGGGAAUUUAGUAGUAUCUUCAAUAACAGCUUAAUUGAGGCCGUGAAAGCUUACCUCGGAACGUGUGGGAAGAGCGUUCUGCUGCCUCUGCAGCAACCAACAGUUGAGUAUUUGGUGAAAAAUCCGGCUUCGGAAAAUCUGGAUAGAGCUCUUCGGGAAGGUUUUGGGCUGCAAUGGUUUGCAAAUAAUAGUCUCUGCGACACGUGUGAACAAUCAAAAGGAGAGUGUGCGUAUUCUGCUAGGACGGGUCAAUUCAAUUGUUAUUGCCCUGAUAAAGCUUAUGCCGAUUCCUGUCCACCCCAAGAAGGUAAGUCCGUUCUCCUGAUUGUUCUGUUAGCAUCUCAGUAAGGAUUCCAUCCAUUAGGUUCAAGGUUACUUAGUUUUCGUAAGAGUAUUGGGCUGUUGUUAAGAGUCCACUUAGGGUCGAGUUGGAUGCUCUUUCUCCCCGGAACAGAGACCCGUAAAUUUAGACGAUCACAGAAACUUGAAUCUUGAAACAGGUCUCUUCAUCCAACAACAAUAGAUUCGAGUUUUCUUCAUCCAACAACAAUCACAUAAUAAGAGUCCACGCUUAUAGGGUAGAGUUGGUAGGACCUAUGAAAUCGAAUCACUAGUCGUGAAUUUAGUCCUUAAUUGAAGCAGAGACUCAGAGUACGUAAUUAACCACAAGCCAUUAGAAGCUCUGUUGUUCAAGGUUUUAGUAACCUAACCUCAUAGAGAAACCUUCUUGCUUUUUCUUCAAAGCGUUGACAUAUUCAACCCUUUAUCUUCAAAUUCGAUUGCCAAAAGUUUUUUUUUUUUUUUUUAUUCCCUUUCCUUAUUAGUUUGCCUUUGUCGCUUCAAUCUUCGUGGGCCAAAAUUUUUUUUUUUUUUUUUAUUCCCUUUCCUUAUUAGUUUGCCUUUGUCGCUUCAAUCUUCGUGGGCUGCAACAACUCCGGUAAUUUAUUCCAAGUGUGGGGCCUACCUUUGAGAUUACUCUGAAGUCAGAUGUAUUUUAAUUCGGACGCGUUACACGUAGAUCAUGUGCUCACGUAUGACUGGCAUCUAGAAACAGUCAAACAAGUACUGCUAUAAAUGUGUUUGACGGCAAUUAAUUAACCAGAAGAAAAUUGUUUCUUUGAUUUCCAGGGAUUAGGUUUGUGUAGUUAUGUUGGUGGCCGAUUGUCACAUUACAAUGACUUGCUUUGUUGACUAAAUUCAAGAUUGGGGUCGAGGGGUAGUAUUAUAAUUACUUGUGAAAACAAUGGUAGUUAAGCCGCCGGUAACCUAUCGCAUACCAAGUAUUAUCUAAAAAUAUAAUUUCCUUUAAUUUUUAUGAUUUUAAAUCCUUUGUUAAGGUUCCCAAAAACCUCUUUAUGAGAGUUUUUUCUUUAAAUUCCUAUCCUGAACUUUGAUUGAAAAUAUAUCUUAUGUGUUGGGCUUUAAUGGCAUUGUAUAUAAUGUUAAAAAAAAAUUCUAAAUUUGAACUUGUUUGAACUUUUAAAAGAUCUCUGAGCCAUGAGUAUAUGAUUAAAAUUUAAUUAAAUUUAUAUUAUCAUCUAAUAUCUACAAAUGACCUCUUAUAUUUUGUUAAAAAAAAAAAAUCUCAUAUAAGAAGAAGAUCUAGGGCCCUUUUUUAAAACACAGUUUUUUCUUUUUUCUUUUUUUACUACUUAAAAGGAUUAUAUAGAAAUCAUUACUUCUUGUUCUAAAUACUAAUACAGGAGAAACUCUAAAUAUUUUCAAUGCAUACACAAUCUUCACUAGAAUUUUUGCUACAUUCGUCCUUUCAAUGGCAAAAGGUGUACAUUAGGAGUGUCCAAUACUUACUUCUAUUGUAGACGCCUAAAAACGCACAACUAUUUUAGGACAAGAAACCAAGACGUGAUGAGUUCUUAAAAACUGGAAAUUUGAUGUGGCUUAUAAGUAUCCAACUAGAGAUUCAAUUUCUUUUUUAUCCAUUUAUGAACGGAAACUGACAUUUCUGGAUCCCAUGAUUAUUGCAGGGAAGAAUGGGAUCUCAACCGGAGCAGGUAAUAUUUCACUGCAAAAUUAAUAACUAAUUAAAUCUUUUAACCAAAAAUUAGCAGUACAGAAACUCUCUAAGCUACUUCAUUCUCACUCCUCAGGAAUUGGUAUCGCACUUGGAUCCGCUGCUGCUGUUAUUCUGGGACUCAUUUUCUUUUGCAUUAUACGAAGGAGAAGGAAAACUGCAGCCUAUGCUAAAAGCAGAGACCUCAAAACACCUCCUUCAAGUGCAAGCGGAGCUACAGCUACAACAUCAGCAGCAACAACAACAACAACUAAUUCCUCGCAAAGCAUCCCUUCUUAUCCCUACUCAAUAACUGAUCUUGAAAGGGGAAGCUCUUACUUUGGAGCUAAAGUCUUCAGCUGUUCUGAACUCGAAGAAGCUACCGACAAUUUCAACUCAUCUAAGCAACUCGGAGAUGGAGGCUUUGGAGCAGUUUAUCUCGGUAAGAAAAUGCAUCAUUGUAGCAGAAGUUGUAUGCUUGACUUAAUAUAUUAAUGUCGAGCACUUACCUAACAGCUUAAGCUUUAAUCAGGUAUCCUCAGGGAUGGCCGCAUAGUUGCAGUAAAGCGGUUAUACGAGAACAAUUUCAAGCGUAUUGAGCAAUUCAUGAAUGAAGUUGAGAUUCUUACAAAGUUGCAGCAUCCAAACCUUGUCAAAUUAUACGGAUGCACAUCAAGACAAAGCCGGGAGCUGCUCCUGGUUUAUGAGUACAUUCCCAAUGGAACAGUAGCAGAUCAUCUUCACAACAGGCAGCCGAACUCUUGCUUGCUCCCUUGGCCUGUUCGUUUGAGCAUUGCCAUUGAAACAGCUGGUGCACUUGCUUACCUACAUGCUUCAGAUGUCAUUCACCGCGAUGUCAAAUCCAACAAUAUUCUCUUGGACAACAAUUUCCGGGUAAAGGUUGCAGAUUUUGGGCUAUCAAGAUUGUUUCCGACUGAUGUUACACAUGUCUCAACAGCUCCACAGGGGACCCCUGGCUAUGUUGAUCCUGAUUAUUUCCAGUGCUACAAGCUCACUGACAAGAGUGACGUGUACAGCUUCGGGGUUGUUCUAAUUGAGCUCAUCUCAGGGUUAGAAGCUGUGGACACUAGUAGGCACCGGCAUGAUAUAAACUUGUCUAACAUGGCAACUAACAAGAUUCAGAAUGGCGCAUUGAAUGAGCUUGUUGAUCCAUCUCUGGGGUUUGAAAAGGAUUAUGCUGUGAGAAACAUGGUGACUUCAGUGGCAGAAUUGGCUUUCAGGUGCGUGCAACAAGACAGAGACAUGAGGCCUUCAAUGAAAGAAGUGUUGGAGAUUUUGAGGGAGACCAAGGAUUCAAAUCUUGGAACGUCAAAGGCCAAGGUGGUGGAUAUUAGGAUAGCGGAUGAUGCUGCGCUUUUGAAGAAAGAUUCUCCUUUGCUGUCACCAGAUGACUCUGGGACUGAUAAAUGGGUUAGCAGCUCCGAUCCAUCCAGUUCCUUCUAGAGUGUUUCAUCAGAUUUCAGAUUCACUUGUCCUGUUUACGCAUAAAUUCAGAGUUAAUUUGCUCUUGCACUUGACUAUAUUCAGUUAUUAAUACCAGAAAUAUUGUCCAAAGAUGCAAGCUAGGCAAUGUACAUAGUACAUAGAAAUUCGCUAGUAUUUAUUUGUAUCAGGUUUCAAGCUUUUUGGUCAUAAGGUUUUGUAAAGUGGCUGAUCCUACAUAUUUGUUGUGCCUUCACACGUAUGCUUUGAAUGUUGGAUAAUAUUUUUUAAUCAAUUUCUGAUUUUCCUAUAACAAAUUUUCUGUUUCUUACAAAAUGUAAAAAUAGCUUUUGAUUCCUCCCCCCACCACUUGACUCCUGAAUGGCUGACGAUAAAAAGUUGGUCAACUAUAAACCCUGGGAAAUACAUGAAAAAUCUUAUAUAUGAUUUUUAAUUUUUAUUGUUUUCACAGGUGAAGAUAAUGUCACUGUGAUAUUUGCAGAGAUUACAAUGAGCUUGGUCCGGAGGAAGAGGAUUCCGCCGUUGAACUAAGUUGGUUACAUGGCAUUUGCUCAAAUUUGGUGCUGAAAUUUGAGAGAUUUAUCUGAAUGCGGCAGCUAUCAAUACUCGUGGGUUCAUAAGCCCAAUUAAUUUUUCAGAUAAGUAGGCGGAGGUUAUUGUGGCCUCGUUCUCCUUUUUUUUAUAGGCCCACAAUGUCAGGGAAUUAAGUUUUAUUAGAAAAAAUCAUUUUUGAGGGGCAAGGAUAAGAAAAGCCUAAUUUAAUUUUUUUAGCCAUUAAUCACUUUCAAGAUGACUAACUAAAUAAACAUCAUUUCUAAAUUUAUAUUUUAACUAUCAAUCACUUUCAAGUUGACUAACUAAAUAAACAUCGUUUUUAAUUUUAUAUUUAAGUCCUAAAUCUUUUAGAAGUGUUCAAUUGUUAACAUUUUUUUAGUGCCUCUAAUAAGAGAUGUUAAUUUUUCAUGUUGGAAUGGGAUCUUAUGGAAUCUCGUCCCGUUUGAGAUGAAAUUGAGACAUAUUUUUACAUUACAAAUUAAAAUGGGUUAGAACAAGAACAAAAAAUAAGUUCUAUCUUUAUUUGUGGAACAAGAGGAGGACCAACUAUAAAAUCUCGUCCGUCAUGUAUAUCCCAUUAAUAAUAUAAUUUUAAAGCUAUUCUAAAUUUUUUUAAUUAUUUCAUACUUUUAACUUAAGUAAUGUUCAAAGUUGAAACUAAAUGUUAAAAUUAAAUGAUAAAAAUAAUACAAUUAGAAAGUGAAUUGUCAGCCAAAAGCCACAAUUAAAAUUAAAUAUAUUUUUUAUGGUCAAAAUAUAAGUUGGUUACUCUUUAAUUCGAUAAUUUUUGAAGUAUAAGUCUUGAUAUUAAUGUGCAAUGGAAGCAAAUAGACAAUUAAAAAAUAUUAGUAUAAAAUUAUAUUGAAAAUACAUAUAAUAAAAAUGAAACUAUUAUUUGAUUUUUUCUACUUUGUAUUUAUUCAAAAUUUUUGUUAUAUGGAAUUGUGGUGAUCCUUAAAAUAAAUUUUUGUAUUUAUUUAUUUAUUUUUAGAAUUGUUCAAGAUAAUGGGAUGAGACGAGAUUUGAUCAUUUGAACAAUUUUUUCUCUUAAAAGAAUAAAGUGACGAGAAUUAAAUAUUUUUUUAUCCUACUUGUAUAGUCGAGACAGGACUAAAAUUAAUAAAUUAUAUUCUAUCUUAUCCUAUUGACAACCCUACCUUUGACAAGUAGUGGACUUUUAUUGAAAAUACAAAAAUAUUCAUAUUUAAUGUAUUUUCCCACCCAUUUAAAAUAAUCCCAAGAAAGAAAACCAAACACACUCAUCCAAAUCAACAAUUUGUACACACAAAUGACAAACCCCCUUUCAUUUGUCUCCAUAUUUCAUCUAAUUAUUAACUACACCACCAACAUUUUACUUUUUGUUCGCACUUAAAACACCUCCUAUACCUACUAAUACUAUUUCCUUUCAAAAAUGAAACAAAAGAGACAAUGAUAGCAAAUGAUCCAAAUCCGCCACGUGGCACCCCACAGCAUCGACAACUCGACUCCCCUUCAAAAUUAAAUUCCAUUAUUCACUGUUAAAAACACAAAAACAAAACAAAAGAAUCAAACAAACAAAUGUAAAAACGCUGCGUCUCUAAUCUCUCACUCCACUCUCAGAUCUCUCUCUUUCAUUUAAUUUGUGGUUUUUUUUCUCAGAAACUUUCGAUUUUUCGUUAUGGCAACUCUUCAAAAAGUCAAGCUUUUAGCGACCCAGUGCGCCGUCGCCGGCAGCCCCACGAGGAGCCCGACCGCGAGCCCCGUCAUCCACCUCCGCCGCCGCAAGACACUCCGAAUGCUACUCAAUCGUCGCCGAUUUCCUCGCCAGGACAACGACGAUUUGGGCCGGGAAGUCGCCGAUGAGUUACCGGAGAUCAAGAACAAGAAGAUUAGAGCCAAGUUGAAGGACUUGUUCGUCUCGUCGCCGCCGUUUGAGGAGAGAGACUCGGAGAGUAGUGGCAGUGGAGAUAGACAAGGGCUUUUACCGGUUACCGGGACUGUGGGUAGCGGUUCAGCUACGAGGCGAGGCUCGGCCGGUUCGCUUCGACCGGUUUCGGCUACUUUUCGGUAUAGACUUUUGAGAAGAGCUUGGCGACCCAUGCUUGUUACUAUCCCAGAGUAAUUUGUAGAAAUAAAUUAAAAUUAAAGUUGUGAAAAAGAAUGUAUGCAUAAAUUAAAAUUUAGUUUGAUUUUUUUAUUUAGUUUUUGGGUAAAUGAAUAAAGUUUUGGAUGAAGAAAUUAUUAAUUUUGUUUGCUAAAAAGGAAUAUUUGGUCAAUAUUUAUAUGUACUACAAAUUAGACUAGAUAUUUUUGUAAUAAUUUGGUCUCAAAUUUUAAUCGUAUUAAUGCCUAACGAAGAUGUAUAGUGUAUUUUAGGGUAGAGACAAAAAGAUGUGUACGGGCUUAUUUUAGCAAAAUUUUAAGAUUACUAUAGUAUUUAUUUGGUGGAAAUACAACUUUAUUUUAGAUUUAAUGGUUGAGUUAUGUGAAUAAUAAUAAUAAUAAUAUUAUUAUUAUUAUGGGUGGGGGCAAGAAUAUUGAAGGUGUUACAGAUCAUGGAGGCAGCGCCGAGACAAAGAAUUGAGGAAAUUAAUAAUUUCUUAAUAUAAAGCCUGUCGAGUGUCGAUUUUGCAGCUACCAUGUGUUAAAUGUUCAGUAAUGCAAAACAAGUUGGUGUACCUUGUACAUACUACUACAGUAGGACCCAUAAUGAAUGAUUUUUUGGGAAGCAUAGGAUAUGAUCAACUGGUCACACUUGGCAAAGUUUUGGGGGGCUCAAUACUAUGAUGUUGAGCACCAAAUCUUGAUGUGUAAUCAUGGUUGUUAUAAUUCUGUUUACGGUAUGGGUCUUUCUGUAUUCCAAUAGUUCCCUGAAAUUAAGGGUGCUUUAAUCUUUGGGAAGAUGAAGCAUCCCACUUGGGGGAUCUUUGAUUUUUUUUUUAAUUUUGGUGCUUUGAUUUAUAGCUUUAGUAUGGUGCAAGUAAAGGGUAUGUAGGUUGUUCCAAUUGCGCGACUUGCUCUUCAAAAAGUUUAUUGUUGCUACUUUAUUUUUUUCUUUUUCAUUCUGCAUUAAAAAUAAAAAUAAAACGCGUUUAAUGGGUCAAAUUUAAAUCAAUGGGCAGGCUCGGAUCAAAAUUUCAGAUUGAUUGGGACAACAAACUUCUCCACUCACCCAAAACACGCAGAUUAUGUAUGCACUGAAUGUGAAGGAUUGAAUUCAUCGACCUUUUACAAAUUCCAACGGGUUUAGAUAGUGACAUGGUGACUUGAUAAAAUCGAAGUCUUGGUCAAUUCUUCUGUAUCGGCGGCUAUGCACAAGAAUAACAACCAAGUACAGCUGCAAGAAAUUUUCCCGUGCCAGGUUCUUCUUUGCCUUUUUUGGAAAAUGAAAAAUUUAUUCGACGGGGAAGAGAAGAGAGAAUAUUGUAUUAUACUAAAGACUUAAAGCACUUAAGCAUGCCCCGUGUUUAUUGUUUGCAUUUGUCGCUCUGCUUUGGAUCUGCACUCCCAACAUUUUCAUGAUGCAAUUGCAAUCCUUUAAUUUAAAGUGAAAUGCUCAACUCAACAUAUAUAAAAAUAUAAUACAACACACACAUUUCCAAUUUCCAAAUCUCUCUUGACCCCUUUUUUUUUUUUUUUUUUAUCCUAAAAUUCUGUUCCGUACGUUCCUAGCUGCCGACGUGGUUAAAAAUUCCCAAGUACGAAUGGUGACCUUUGACAAUGUCUUCACGGCAGAAUCUCAUGGGCUCUCUCUCUUUCCUCUUCAUUAAUUAUUAUUAUUUUUUCUUAGAUCCUCAAUGGCUUCUUCCAAAGCCAUCUUGGUUUGUCUUGGUAACUCAUUGUUGCUUAUCAUAAACCUUGUUAGCUCGUCGGUAACCGAACUCCCAUCCAUAGCCAAAAUCCUACAUAUGGUUUUGCAAGGCGUGAUAAUGUAUGUGAGAAAUGAAAUCAUAGCCUUCCUAAGCUAGUCUUCAACAAUACUAUAUUUACAAAGCUUUGUCUAUACCCCGUGUUAAUUUAAUGUGACUUCUUAUUUCGUGGUUCAUGUGUUUUUAAAAUGGGUAAAUUUGUCAUAAAAGCACCCUAGGGGAUGAGGCAUUGAUUCCCGGUUGGUGCUUGUUUUUCUAAGAACAACAUGAGACAUGUAUUUAUAGCUAAAAUGCACGCAUCAAUCCCGCAUGUUGCCGAAAUUAAGUUCAUGUCCACUUAAUAAAAAAGUCAGCUCACUGUUAAUGUCACUAAGAUUAAAUUAAGCUAUUUGAUAAUUUCUCUGACUCUGCAGCCUCAUUGAUUACGUUUGUUAAAAUCCAAAUUAAUUAAAAUACUAGAAAUCCAAUCUUACCCAUUGAGUUUGCAAGCAAUGUUUGACUCCACGAAUUGUACGGUGCUCCUUAGACUCAAACUCUCACAAAGCCAGCAACAUUUCUGCAAAUAGUUUUUCUGAAAUUGGUUCUCCGCCAUGCAAAAUUCAGAAUCAAAUUGUAUUAUUUUGGUCACAAUUCUCUUGUUCAGCUUCAUCUGCCGUCUAAUCUUCGAUUCCUGAGCUUGCUUCCUCUCUUCUUCAUUGCAGUAAUAUAUAGCCGAUUUCAAGUGUGUACUUAAACCAAAAUUCUGAAAAAAGAAAAAGAAAAGAGGGAGAGAGAGAGAGGGAGAGAUGAAUAAUCAUCAUUAUGAUGAUUUAUAUGUACAUUAAUCUAUUAACGUGAAAUGCUAAAAUGGAAAAUGAAUAGAUAGAUCAUUAAUUACAAGGUAAUUUCUAUUAGUGGGAUCAUGAGUUUCCCAGAAAAUAUCACAGAGCGAUUUGUAUGAUAUUGUCUGCUUAUCGUAAAAGACUUUCACGGCUUCAGUGUGGCCUGUUAUUCCUUCACAAACCUGUAAUAAUAAUUUAGAAAAACAUAUCAACAAAUGUGUAUUCUGAAUUGGGUUUAAAGAGUUUUUGGCAUUCUUUAACCUUUUUUAUUUUUUUAUUUUAUUUUACCUCUCUAUAUGUUGGUUUUUUGAGGGUGCCUCCGCAAUAACCUGUAGCAGUUCUCAUGACUCCAUUUAAGCGUCCAAAUGCUGCUUCAAGAUCCAAAAAAUUACCUACAAGAACCCACCCAAAUUAAUUCAAAUUAAAACCAAAAUGAAACAAAAAUAGAACACUCGCGAUGAAGAGAAAGUAGACCUCCUGCAAAUACUGCUUCACUGAAGAAAUUUGCUGGUUCAGAGACAGAAACUUGUGAAGUUAAAUUAUCGAAUUGAGGAAGUAAUUUGUACAUGGUGUUGAAAUCAGUAUUGAAUUACGAAAAGGAGUUGCAUGAGCUAAUGGGGUUACGGCUUUGUCUAUUGAUUCGCAUAUAAUAUUUAUAAACUCGAAACAUUGAGAUAUAAUAUUAUAUUUGCAUUUUUUUUUCUUUCAAUAAAGCGUCUGAAUUCGUUUGGAGUUUCCACAUUAGCUGUACAUAUGUAUGUUUGAAUAUGCGAGGGGAGGAGAUCGAAUGCGAUAGGCUGACUUUCAAGAUUUAUGAAUGAAAAAAGACUAAGGUGGCUUUUGUUUUUUUGUCUGAAAUCUGAAUAGACCUGAAUUAGUCUGAAUUUUGAAUAGAUAUGAAUGUCUGAAUCUGAAUAAUAUGUUUGUUUUUUCGUCUGAAUCUCAAAAAAUAAGUAUUAAAUUAUUUAUUUUUUUCAACUUAAAAAGCUGAAAAUAUGUACUUUUAUAUUUGUAUUCUUAUUAAAUUUGCAUGUCAAAUAAAUAAUAUAUUAAAUACCACAAUAUUUUAACAUUUAUAAGUAAAACUAUAUUCAAGUGAAUACAUAAUUAUUUUAGAAUUUUAAUAUAUAAAAUACCAUAAAUUUCAAAUUUUUUGGUAUAUAAUAUAAGAAAGAAAAAACAAGGAUAUUUUUAUGUGGGAUAAAUGUCUAUAGGUGAGUUUUGGAAUAGACAUGAAAAAUAAAUUAUAAAACAUGGAUAUUUUUUACAUUAGUAAGUAAUUGACUUAAUUCAAAUUUCUCCAUUAAGUAAAAAGCCAAAAAAAUUAGCUUAUUUUAUGAAGUCAAAAUUAUCUAAAAAAUCUCAUUAAGUUAAAAAACAAAUGCCACCUAAAUAACAAAUGUAAGAUUUUUUUUUUUUUACUUCUCUCUCAUUCACAUGAAUUUUUAAAAAUUCUAUAUCUCAUGUCUAUGAGUGAUAAUAAUAUAAGAUUGAGAUUUGUCUUUCUCUUAUAUUUUAUAUACUAAUCACUAAUUAUCUACGUAAGUUGCGCUCAUAAGAAAUUACUCAUAUCUAGAAAGUAUUUUGGUCUAAUUUUGACAUUUUUUUUGGAAAGUUCAUUUAUUAGUCUGUUUAAUUUAACUUUUUUUUUUAAUUAUCGAUGACAAAUUAAAUACCAAAAUUUCAGUUUUAUUACAAAAAAUGUCAGUAUCAAGCAGACAAGAUAGACAAUUCCAUGUGGAAUUCUGAGGUCAGCUCACAGCUGCUUGAAACUUGAAUAGUCUGCUGUAUAAAUUUAUUGUUAUAUAUAAAAUCUGACGUUAUUUAAAUUUAUUCUCAAGUAUUGUUAUUGUAUGCGAUUAAUGAAUUUUUCCACAAUACUUCUCCCAUUACGAUCAAGCGAUGGCCUACGGGAUGUCCUUAAUGGGCUUUUCGGGAUUUUGUUGGCCCAAAAAGCCCAUGGGUACUAAAGUCUCGGCUCAGUGGACCGAACACACCACAAACGCACGUCCCCUCGCCUCUCUCUCUAAAACGAUAACAAAAAAAUUAUAUCUCCAAACACUUUAAUUAAGUUUUAAAUAAAAAUUGCUUGUCAGUCUGUUUAACCAAAUCAAUCGAUUCGUGGAAAACACUGGUAAUUAAAGGGUGAUAAUUAAUUAACAUUUGUGUAGCAUCAGGUAUGGUUGGUAGGUAUAAGCUUUUUUUUAAUUUUUCUUCUUAAAUAAGAAAAUUGAUUCCCUAAGAAAAAAAAAAAAGAAGAAGAAGAAAAAGUCAAAAAGUGGAAAAGAGCUUUUUCUAUGAAAGCAAAAGAGAAAAGACAUGCAACAAAAAAGUUAUUGAAAAGAUUAACAAUAGCACCUGUUACUUUGGUAUAUGUAUAUCCUUCCCUUCUAUUGAAAAAAAAAAUAAUUAAUUAAUACAUGAAGAUAAAUCAAAUUAUUAAAUGUUGAAUCUCUAAUAUUACCUCCAGAAAAAUUAUAAUAACACAUAUGUAAAAACAAAAACAAAAAAAAAUUCCAAGCAGAUGAAUCUUUAUACACAUUCUCGUUUCAUUUUCAACUCAAAUAAACAAUUUAUGAGACUUUGAAAUGUCAACACAAGAAAAGAGGAAGCAAAGCUCUUGGCAGCAUGAGCGUCAUAAUUUUGAUGCAUGAAUAUUGAGGCCCUCCCCGUGGACCUCAUUCAUUCUCUUUAUUCUUUUGCCCCUCAUUAGACCCCAAAUAUUUCUGUUUAAAGACCAAAUUUUUUUUUUUCUCCUUUUUCGCCUCUGCAAGAAUUAUUAUAAAAGAUAAACUGUUUCAGAGCAAUGUGUAUAGUGCUCAACAAAGACCUAGUUACAUAAUUUCAAAGGCGCGUGGGUGGAAAUUUGGUAUCAUUAAUUCUUUUUGGAUAUUCCUUUCUAAAGCUACAAGAAAAUUGUUUUAUUUUUUAUUUUUUGUUAUUUUAUGGUUUCUCACGAAGUUUGCCACUCUCACCUAAAGUAAUAUAUUUUAUGGUUUCUAAUAUAUAUCCUGUUUCUAAUAGUUUUUACCAACUUUAAAUAUUAGGUUCUUUAAGCAAGUCUAGCAACAACAUACAUCUAAAGGCUCAUACACAGUACCAGAUCUGGAUCCCAGAAAUGAUGCUCUGAAGGAAUGGAGGAAGAAGAGAAAGAUACAACUGAGGAUUGAGAUCUGGUCUCGUUUCUAAUAUAUAUAUAUAUAUAUUAGAUUCUAAAUUCUUGAUAAUUUAUGAUAGUAUCCAGGGGCGGACGCCAUGUAAGACUAAAGGGUGCCAUGGCCCCCUCUGGGUUUUAAAAUAUUUUGAGAUUUUUGAAUAAAAUAUGAAUAAUUUACACACUGAUCCCUAUACAAUUAAGUUUGGCCCCCCCUUAAAUUUAUAAGUUUAAAUUUGGCCCCCCUUAAAUUUCCUCCCGAGAUCCGCCCCUGAUAGUAUCAAUGUGGUACGAUGAGAGGUAGUGCUAUACAAGCAUUUUGUUUUUGUCCUCCUCCAAAAUGUUAAAUUGUUAGUCAUCUAUCUAUCCAUAGCUACUUACCCCCAUUUUCUUCUUAUUCUUCUUUUUUCUCCCCUAAUUUUUGGUAGAAUGGCAAAAAAUUAAAAUUCCAAAAAAAAAAAAUUGAUACAGGGAAUACAAGAGGCAACCCUAAAUUAUGAGCUACGGGAUGAUUAUGAAACAAAAUAAUAUUUAAAUAAAUCAUAAUAAUUACCUCAUAGUCUCUUUAUUAUAGUUUUUUUAGGUGAAUCAUAUCAUGUAAAAGUUGAACAAGACACCUUUACAUUUACAAGACAAUCUACGAGCAUAUUUUUUUCUCUAUAGAUAUGAAAGCGAGUAAAUUAAAUCAAACGAAAACAAUUUGACAAUUCAACCACCGUUUAUGUAAACACCGUGGCGUGGAAGGUUGAAAUUUUGUGCUCAUAAGGCUAAAGAAUUUCAAACGUAUUUGUGUGAAAAGUCGUAUUUAUAAUUAGAAACCGGUUGGGAUUUUAUUUAUUUGAAAAAUUUGCCCAUACACGGGAGAGUGAAAUUUUUUUAUAAAAUUUUAAAAGAGAGUAGGGUUUGAGGGUCCAGCUAUAUACCUUGCUCCUCUGGCAACAACUGUUGGAUUUCAUCUUGUAUGAUCCAAAGGCCAUAGUUUUAUACACGCGAUACACUCUAUAUAUAGAAACGUGUUACCAUUUGAGCUGACGAAAACGAUGAUGAAUUUAUGAAGAGAGUGAAAAAUGUCAAAAGCCGCGAAAUUAUUAAAAGCUCAAAUUCUUUAGCUGAAUAUUUACUACGAGUUGAGACGGACUCCCAUGUAUCGGUUUUAUGAUCGCUUGAUAUCUUUUUAUUUCAAUCCAACAACAAUCUCCUCGCUCCAAGAUAAACUAAAGGGGCAACGUGACGUGGCCAGAGUUUGAAAGCAUUGUUAANNNNNNNNNNNNNNNNNNNNNNNNNNNNNNNNNNNNNNNNNNNNNNNNNNNNNNNNNNNNNNNNNNNNNNNNNNNNNNNNNNNNNNNNNNNNNNNNNNNNNNNNNNNNNNNNNNNNNNNNNNNNNNNNNNNNNNNUUUUUUUUUUUUUUUUAAUUCCAAAUUUAAUAAAUUCCUCGAAACUUCAAUUAUGAUGAUUGAGGAAGAGAAUAUGCCUUUGAACGGACCCAUUAGGUUUGGCAUUACCCGUACCUUAUCAGGUUUCAUUUUUAUUUUUUUUCCUGAUAAGAGGAUUGAAUUGAAUUAUCCAAUGUGAGAUCCCAAUUAAAAAAUUCAGCCAAUUAGCAUUUGGCAAUUACUCCAAGCCGGCGCGUGCGGACACGGACUGAUUCUGAAAGUGGGGAUCAAUAUUAUGCUGUACAACGGAGUCCCCGGUCCUACAUAAAACAUUACAUCUUCCAUCACCGUACGUGCGGCCUUACUAUAUUGCGACACAUCAUUAAAAUCCGUUACACGUCAGAACUGCACCACCGUAUAUGGACCCCACUCCUACGACAGAAGCAAAUGACGUGUUUGGUUGUAAUUGUAGAUUUUUUUACGUGCUUCUAAACAUUUUUUUUAAUACGUUUGAAUUUAAAAACUUUUUUAUAUUAUUAGUCUUUCAGUAUUUAAUUAAUAUAAAAUUAAGAGUUGUGCUAUAUAUUUUAAAAUUUUAAAAUAAUAUUUAUUAAUUAAAUUGUAGGAUAAUACAAUUAAUUUAUUUAAUAAUUAUUACAUACCACAUUACAUCAUUUAAAAUAAUUGUAAAUAAAAUUUUAAAAUAUUUAUCGUUACCAUAAAAUCAAUAUAAUUUCCUAUUCAACGAUUAAUAUAUUAUAAUAGUACAAACAUUAAAGUUCAAUUCACCCCAAGGUCAAGAUUGGGAAAUGAUUUCCUUUGAUAUUUAUAAUACACAAAACCAAAAAGUAAAUUUUUUAGAAAGAAAACGUUUUCAUAGUAAAAUAGCUUUUGUCUUAAAAGAAAGUCGUUACAACUUUAAACGUGCUUCCUGAAAAACCAUCUAAAUAAAGUUCGCCUUCACCCACAACCGACUCCCCACAGCUACAGUAUAAGAAAUGUUUCGUAUUCGUAAUCUUGACAGACGUCACUUAAUUAAACGUGCACAGUAAUCAUCUUCAUAUACUCGCCCUCAGGAGGAUAUUUCCCAACUUCAGGAACAUCAACUCCCUCUCUUACCAAAAGCUUAGAAGGCAUUUUUGUAAAGUUGACAUUCAAAAACAAUUCUUCAGAUUCCGUUAAACAAUAUUUGACACGUCACUUUCCCAUCUCCUUCCACUCACACGCGCCGCUUCGCUUCACUCACGCGCCACCUCACAAACACACAUCUCUAAGCUCUCAAUUUUUAAUAAUUUUACACUAAGAUCUGGUUAUUUUUAUUUUUAAUUUUUCAUGAGCGAUAGUUAUGUAAUGAGCAGAAGUAGAAGGAGAAUAUUAUUAUCAUGGGAGGAGUUACCUCGACGAUCGCCGCGAAGUUCGCUUUUUUCCCGCCGAAUCCGCCGUCGUACAAAUUGGUGACGGACGAGUCGUGCGGAGGUAGGCUUUACAUUCCAGAGGUUCCGAGGAGGGACAACGUCGACGUUUUGAAGGUACGCACUCGCCGUGGAACCGACAUCGUGGCCGUUCAUAUCAAGCACCCGAAAUCGACGGCCACGGUUUUGUAUUCUCAUGGAAAUGCAGCUGAUUUGGGCCAGAUGUUUGAGCUCUUUGUUGAAUUAAGUAAUCGCCUUCGCGUUAAUCUCAUGGGGUAACUUUAUCUAUAUAAUUUUAUUUUUUAAAAGUUAUAUAUAUAUAUCGUACUAGAUGAAAAUUUUGAGCUUGCUGGAAGAAAUUUAAUUGUGCAAUUAUUUGAGCUUGUAGAAUUUAAUAAUCGUUGCUUAAUUUAAUGAACUGCUAUAAAAGGUUUUUUUUUAAUUAUUAUUGUUAUUAAAAUCACUGGAAGCAUAAUUGAAAAAAAAAAUUGUUCUUUUUUAUUUACUUGAGUUUAUUAGAUUUUUUUUUUGUAAUUUUUAUUUCUUUGUUGGUUUUAGUUUAAUUUAGUUAUUUGGGUUUGAUUAGUGUUCAAAGGUUCAACUGGAAAGCAAGCUCAUCAUGUGAUUAGGUUUCUCCGAAUGCUAGAUUGCUUGCUAGUUGUCAUUGAUUUGAUGGUCGAUCAGUAAACGUUUUUGUUUGCUUGCAAGCGGCUUUAGUUAUAUUAAGAGCAAGGAGGAGCCAAAUUCCGAAUCUCCAGUUUUCUUUUUCCCGGAUUUUCCUUUAAUUUAAUGCUUAUAAGCCAAAAGGAACGUUCCGUUUGUAUGAAGACGAUGAAAAACUGAAAUAAAGAGAGAGAGAAGAAUAUUGUGAGGGAGACUGUAGAUAGCUGGUGAUAGGACCUUUUUUUUUCCCCCCCUCGUUUCUUAGGCUAAAGUUUCUGGUUGAAUACUGUUAGAAGAUUCUCUUUAUUCUUAGGUAAAAGUGUAUAGACAGUAAGAUCUAAUAGCUGGCUGAGAAAGAACAUAGGGCUUCCCCCCUCCCCCCCCUCCUUUUCAUGGCCUAUUGGAAAUUUGGCCCUUAUCUUAUUUGAAUUGAAAAAAAAAAUUGCAAAUAUUAUAUGUGGUAUAAGGAUUUAGACAUCAAUCAGUCACCUUCUAUGAAGAAAUCAUUGGGGACUAGGUUGCCACAUCAUUUAUUUAUUGUAGAGAAGUAUGUUCAUAUUAUCGGUUGAAAAUGGUGAGAUAGUGGCAUUAGUCUUAUUUCUUUAGUGAAAUUAAAAAUUUAAGCAGCAGAUAACUCUUUUUGUUGUAUUACUGGUUUUGGUUGGUUAUCUUAAUAUCAUAUGUUUUAUGUCAUAGUCCGUGAAUAACAGCUUUUGUUUUGUAUUAGUCCAUUCUGUGGGAACUAUGUUUAUUUGAUAUUUUUUGUUUUAUUGUCCUCCAUUGACUUUGCUAUAUGUCAAACUGCUGAAUUUCUGGUGCAAUAAAUCAUGGGGGAUGAAUUGAAUUUGAAGAUGGUCAUCUCAUAUCUGGUGAAAUGUUCUUAUUACAAGGCUCUCAGAAGACACAUGUAUGAAAUAAAAUAAUCUCUUUUAUAACUAGAAUUGUUGUGAGUAAGACAAAAUUGUGAUGUUUUUAUUUUCUGCCUGACUUUUCAUUUUCUCUAUGUAUUCGUGGACUAUGUUCUUGACCCUGUUUCUCAUCAUUUUUAGGUAUGAUUACUCUGGCUAUGGACAAUCAACUGGAAAGGUUAGAUAUCUAGCUUCGCUCUUCCCAAUUGAUAAUGAUGGAAAGAGAGCUUUGACUUAGCUUGUAGCAAUUUUACAUUUUUUUUUCUUUUAUAAUAAGAUAUCCUUCUUUUCUAGAUUCUGAUGAGUUAAGUGUAUUUGUAUUUGUUUAAGUUUCUUUUGCAUUGUUUGAGUUUAUCUGUCAUAUGAUAGUAAUUGUAUGGUUUAGUGAAUUCAAUUGGUCCUGGCAAGAUUCUUUAGUGAGAAGUAUUAAAUUUAUUUCAGUUAAUGCAUACAUUAUUUUACUGUCAGUCACGAACCUCCCAAAUAUUAUUGAAGCAUUUGUCUCCCAAUUUCCUCUGGGAAACUAGGAUGUACUACCUUUAAAUGCCGAAGAACAUCAUUAAUGUAGGAUAAUGUGAAUUAAACUAUUGCUGCAAAAAGGGUGCAGCAUUUUAUUUUUUUCGUUUCCUUUUUCUCUCCAAAAGUAAUUGAUACUAGGAUCCUUGGGACUGCAAAGGCAAGCCAACACAAAUGAUUGAUACAUAUUGAUUGUAUUUUAUUGUUCUAUAAUUCACUCACUAAGCAUGGAAUUGUCUAAUAUUGAGAAAAUAUUGGUAUUUGAAUGUGAAGGGAAAAAUGUGGUAUCCCUCACUCUCACGUGCUUUCUAACUCUUACUGAUUGAUAUCCCCUACUACUAUGAUUCGUAGAACUUUAGAAAGUAUCAAGGAUCUUUCUCCUGCCCUUGCAUUGCUGGGAAGACUGUUGCAAGCUGUGUCAGUGCCUAGAUCAAUUAAAACUUUAAUUUUAUAAGAAAAUCCAUAAAAUUUUGUGCAUAGGACUUGCAGAUGCCUGCAUCUUUGGAUUGUACAAGAUCAUUUGAACUUCUCUCUUGGUUGCUGGUACCUCAAUACAUUUCUUGUCAGUUCUCAAAAAAGAACUCUUGCUAUGACUCCUAUUUUCCAAUAGCAGGCAGUGUAAAUAGUUUUCACUAUAGUCCUCCCGUGCGAAUGACUAAUUUUUUUUAAAGAGUUAUUAAAAGACAAAAAAUUGAGAAUUUAGAGACAUUGAUUGUACAGCAAAAACUGUUAUCCUAAGAGUUGGACAUCAGCAUUUUUUAAAAUUAUCGCAGGUGUCUGCACCUGGAAUUCCAUAUAUAUAAUAUUUUUGGCAAAAGUUUUGCCAUAUUGCUCACAUAUUAACCAUUGCCUUUUUGCUUUGAAACAGCCGACUGAAUGUAAUACAUAUGCAGACAUAGAUGCAGCAUAUAAGUGCCUCAAGGAGCAGUAUGGAGUUAAAGAUGAACAAUUAAUAUUAUACGGUCAAUCUGUUGGUAGUGGACCUACUGUUGAUCUUGCUUCGCGCUUGCCAAACCUGAGAGGGGUAGUUUUGCAUAGCCCAAUAUUAUCUGGUAUGAGGGUAUUGUACCCUGUCAAGAGGACAUAUUGGUUCGACAUUUACAAGGUGAUUUAAUAGAAGUAAUGGUAUUCCAUAUCCAUGCUUAAUUUUGCAGAUGCAAGCUUAUGUAAUUGAUUCUUUUGUUUUUAUUAUUAUUUAUUUUCAGAAUAUUGACAAAAUCGGCAUGGUGAACUGUCCUGUUAUGGUUGUUCAUGUGAGUAUCAUUUUUCUUCAUUUCUGUUUUAAGUCUCAUAAUGUUUUUUGUCGUUUUCUCUCUGGUGUUUGUGCACGAGCACACGUGGGUUUUGGACAUUAAUGUAACAAAAUAGCUGGUACUUUUGGCAUUAUUUUGCAUUAAUUUGCUCAACUAAUGUGGUCAACCUAGCAAAGCAAUAGCUUUGUCUGCAGUUACUAAUUUCCAGACUGCUUGUCAUAGGAUAAACGCUCCUCUGGAACUAAGCCACAUAAGUUGAGCCUUGUUACGAGAGCUUGAGAGUGUGUGUAAGCAUCAAAAUCCUAAAUGUUUCUGAGAGCAGGAGUGUUUUUGCAAGUAUUAGUAGUUUUGUUGCAUUGAACUAGAAAUUUAGAAACUCUUCUAUUUGUUAUAUACCUUAGCUUUUCUCUCUAUUUUUAUUUUAUUUCAUUUUUUUCCCUUAAAAAAAGUCAAAUCGGUUUGAUUUUCUUCUUCUUAAGAGUGUUAGAGCUAUAUAGCACUUCAUCAUCAUAGCAGUUUUGUUGGCAUAAAGUUACUUUUCUUUCAUCUUCAGGGAACUACAGAUGAAGUUGUUGAUUGUUCUCACGGGAAACAGCUUUAUGAACUUUGCAAAGUAAAGUAUGAACCUUUAUGGAUAAAUGGAGGAGGACAUUGCAAUCUUGAACUUUAUCCAGAAUUCAUCAGACAUCUGAAGAAAUUUGUGUUAUCACUUGGGAAAUCUAAAACAGCAACUAAUGCUUCAAAAAAUCCAACGGCAGACUCUGCUAAUCAGAGCAAAACGUCUGACAGUGGUCCAUCAGAUACUUUCGAAUUGGGUGCUGACCUUCCCGAGGUUUCUAGAAACAGUUUAGAUAGUCGACUUGAGAAGUCUAAGAAGUCAAACAAGCCGGAAAAGUCUCGGAUGAGCACUGACCAUGUUGAUAGGUUUAGGAGAAAGAAGCGCUUAGUGUGGUAAAUACUUAUACGAGGAACAUCUUCAAUAAGUUAUAAUCACCUAUCCUGCUGGGAACGUAAGUUAGUUUUGGCACUGCUCGUGUAAUGUUUCUUCGGAUCCAGCAUAAAAUGUCAGUUUUGAGUGUGAUUCUUUCCAUAAGUGUUCUAAUUUUUCUGUAUGUACAAGUCAGAUUAAGCGAAACCUUGCAUUUUAAUUUUUUUUUGCUGUAAAAACAACUGUUUCAUUUGAUAAAUGGGGGGGAAAAAAGUCAAAGUAGUUUCAACCAAUGUCUCUUGUUUAUUGGAAGACCAAGGAAUUCUUCGCUGACCACGGCCAACCGUGGUCGUUUCCGGAUCUUUGUAUUUUAAUUUUAGGGCAAGAUUUUUAAUCUCUUCGGGAUUUGUUAAUAAGUAAGAAUCAUCAUAACAGAUUAAUUGUCAUUAAAUGACAUAAAUCAAACAGGUGUAUCAUGUAUGCACGGGGCAAAAUCAAUCUCAAAAGGAUGGAUCGAUGAAGGGGUAUUUUUCAGCUCCAUCUUCUUUAAAAAGAUCCUCUUUAAGUAGAGAACUAGUAAAAUGAAUAUCAAAUGGGCAAAUCUUGAACGAGUAAUGGGUAAUGAUCGCCUCUUCCAUGAUUAAGCGUAAAUGCAACACAGUGAAGCCAGUUGUUUUUUAUUCGAAAUUGCUGGGGAGAAAGCACUCCGAAACACACUCAAUAUUUUUUAAUUAGUUUCAACUUUUGCACCCCAAAUUUUACGAUAAACGAUUGACGCUAAGAUGAUCAGGCUGACAAUUUUCUACUAUCUUUCAAGUGUACGGCAAUUUUUAAGCGUACGAGUUAGAAUCAAUUAGUCCAUCAAUUGCAAGUAGUUAAUAAUGCUGACUGCUUUUACAACUCAUAUUCACAUCUCUAAUUCUCUUCCGUGAAAUUUGGUUGGGAAUGGAAAUUAAGAGGAGAAGACACUUUCUGUUUGCAAGGUUUUCUUACUUCCGUUGUCGUGAUAAAUGCGUGCGUUAUCAACAACGGACUCAAGGUUGUGACAAGAAGUUUCAUACUAUCACUUUUAUAUUACAAGGCAUUUAGCUUCACAUCAAAGAGAGAAUGAUGUAAAAUAGUUGUAGCUUGCCUUUAUUCAAGAAAAGUUCACGUGUUUCCGAUUCAGUAAUUUCCUAACUUGCUUACAGUUGAGAUUCCAUAAGUGAAUGGUUGGUAAUCAGAUAUCAUACUUGUUUUAUUUUUCCAUAGCAGACUUUUAUUUUUCCGUUUGUAGCGAUAAGUGCUCUAUUAAUAAUGGACUCAAGGUCGACUGAGGAUAAUAAUUCAAUAAAUAAACAGAUAAAUAAAUAAAUUCAGGUCUUGAGGUCAACUGUGCAAAAAUCUAAGUCUUUCUAUUACUUACCUUGAAUUUUCUUCCUGAGACGUGAUAUAACUCUUUCUUCUGUACUGCCGCUAAAACAACUGACCUAAACUAUAUACUCACACUAUUCCACUAGAAAUGGGUUUCCAGUUUUCCUGGUCAGGACUGCCUUUAAUUUCUCUACUGUGUUCCCUAUCAGUACUAGUUGUUGACAAGAUUCAACCAUCUUUAGCCAGUCCUGAGUUGGCCAAAGUUUGCAGUCUUCCAUUCGGCUGUGGGAAGAUAAACGCCGGUUAUCCCUUCUGGGGAGGUGCCCGCCCUGAACUUUGCGGCCACCCUAUCUUUGAGCUCAAGUGUGAGAAUGAAACGCCUACCAUGAAGCUUGCAGAUGUAACGUACCGUGUGUUAAAUGUCAAUACGAAAGAGAAAGUCAUCAAGCUUGCAAGACAGGAAUACUUUGAAGGGUUAUGUCCGCAGAGUAACACCAUCAUCGAUACAUCACUUUUUGACAUCUCAGAUGGGUACGAGAUGUUUAACCUAAUUUAUAGCUGCCCGAUGUUUUCACGAAGUUUCACUUGCAAUAUGAAGGAUGUCAACAAUUACCUGGAUGGCUUCGUACAAUUCACAGGCGGUAUUCAGUUUCGUCCGGAUUGUAAUACCACUGUUACUGUUGCGUUUUCUAAAGCUUUGUUGGCAGCCAAAAGGGGUAAAUGGGUCCUACAAAAAGCCCUGGAAGAAGGAUUUGAGAUGAAGUGGAAGCUGUUCGGUUGUGAGGAGAGUUGCAGCAGUUGUGGUUUUGAUUUUUUUAAUCGUAAAGGAAUUUGCUACUGCUCCGGUGGCCAGCUUAAUAGCUCAUCCUCUGGAUGUUCAGCUCCAUCAGCCGCCUCAAAUUCAGAAGGUACGCUAGCUUGCUCCUCAGCUUUUAGUUGUUAUGCAAAAAUCAGUACCAAACAUCAACUAAUUCAAUUACAUUAGCUAGUAGAUGUUCGGCAAUCGGAAAUUAAAAAAUCAUGCGUUUGAUGAAAUGCAUACAUCAGAAAAUAUUAAGACUGGCUACGAGACUACGUCGUUUAGGAUGAUCUGUAAAAGCAUUGUGAUUGGCUGCGUUUGUUAGUUUGUUUUGGAUUCUUUUUUUGUCAUUUUCUGUUGCGUUGUCAAAUUGGUUAUUUUCGAUUGUCUGUUAUAUAUUGCGUGAUCGGUCAUUUUGGGAAGGCAUGAAAUGAAUGGACCACUUUUCUUUCUCUCUGUGACUCUUCUUCUUUUCUUCUUUCUCAUUUCUCAACUUCCAGUUCUUUCCUCUGGAGCAAACACUCGCUCGAAGUAGUGAUAAUUUUGAUAUUGCUCAGUUUCAAGAAUUAAGAGCGUAUCAAAGGAUGUCAACAAUUACCUGGAUGGCUUCGUACAAUUCACAGGCGGUAUUCAGUUUCGUCCGGAUUGUAAUACCACUGUUACUGUUGCGUUUUCUAAAGCUUUGUUGGCAGCCAAAAGGGGUAAAUGGGUCCUACAAAAAGCCCUGGAAGAAGGAUUUGAGAUGAAGUGGAAGCUGUUCGGUUGUGAGGAGAGUUGCAGCAGUUGUGGUUUUGAUUUUUUUAAUCGUAAAGGAAUUUGCUACUGCUCCGGUGGCCAGCUUAAUAGCUCAUCCUCUGGAUGUUCAGCUCCAUCAGCCGCCUCAAAUUCAGAAGGUACGCUAGCUUGCUCCUCAGCUUUUAGUUGUUAUGCAAAAAUCAGUACCAAACAUCAACUAAUUCAAUUACAUUAGCUAGUAGAUGUUCGGCAAUCGGAAAUUAAAAAAUCAUGCGUUUGAUGAAAUGCAUACAUCAGAAAAUAUUAGAACUUGUUUGUAUAGAGAAUAAGUUAGGCCGUUCUUUUCGAUCGGUGUCACUGUUAAUACAUAGGGAAUGGUUUCAUAGAAUGCACGCAUCAGAAAUUAGAAAUUUAACUUUAUUUUGUAUACAGAAUAAGUUGGGCCGUCAAUUUCGAUGUCACUAAUCCUCAAUAUGGUAUUCCUCUUGUUAAAGAUUUUUCAAUCCGAUGACAUUUGUUAUACAUACGGAAUGGAUAAGUUUGGCGGGUCUUUGCGAAUAAUGCAAUUUUUUCUUUCUUUUUUGAGCAUGAAUAAUGCGAAAUUAGGCCAAUAAUAAACAUCUUUAUUUAUAUAUAACUCAUUUUUAGCUCGAUUUAACUUAGAAGGCCAUCAGCAGCGGCGAUUCCAUUCAAUAACAUACAUAUAUAUAUCUGAUCACUAGUUGAAUUGUAAUUCUUAAAUGAUAUUAGGAUCUAGUUCUCUGUUUUUCGAAGGCAAUACUUUCUCGUAUUGUAGAUGCCUUAAAACGCAUAGACAUAACUGUUUUGGACAUAGCCUCAUUGCACAUGGACAUUGGCACAUUUUGGUGGUUGAAAUAUCUGAACAACAUGAAAUUUACUCCCCCUGCUAUGGAAUUGUAAGGACGAGAUCGUUUGCUUCAAAUGGGAGUUAGAAGGUUGCUUAUAAGUAUUCAAUUAGACAUUUAUUCUCUGUUAUUUAUUUAUCCGAACUGACAUUUUUGGAUGUCAUGACCACUGCAGGGAAUACUGCAGGGAAUAAGAUAACAAUUGGAGUAGGUAAAAUUUCUGUAUCUGACAGCUUGUUUUCCGUGUCAGUAGCAUUGUCAACUAUUGCUUUGUAGGGAUUUUUGUAGGACAGUUCUAUCAACAUUAUUCAGUCACAACUGUGAAUGCAGGAAUUGCAGUGGCGGGUAUAGUAGUUAUCCUGGCUAUUCUUCUUAUAGUUGGUCUUCGACGACUUCGGAAUAAUAAAACAGAGAAUGAUCGCAGCGCAGAGGCAGCUUUUUUUAGGAAUUACGUAUCUCUUGCUCCAAAGAGAUAUAAUUAUUCUGAUCUAAAGAGGAUUACGAAAUCAUUCAGCGACAAACUUGGUCAAGGGGGCUAUGGUGGUGUUUACAAAGGAAAGUUACCUGAUGGUCGUCUUGUAGCAGUGAAGGUCUUGAAGGAAUCCAAAGGUAACGGGGAGGAAUUCAUCAACGAGGUUGCCAGCAUUAGCAGAACAUCGCAUGUUAACAUUGUUACCUUUCUGGGAUUUUGUUAUGAGAAGAAGAAAAGAGCUCUAAUUUAUGAAUUCAUGCCUAAUGGCUCUCUGGAUCAGUUUACAUAUGAUCAAGAAUCUUCAAAUGGAAACCGCACGUUGGAAUGGAGAACAGUGUAUCAAAUUGCAGGUGGUAUUGCCAGAGGACUAGAGUAUUUGCAUAGAGGUUGUAACGUAAGGAUUGUGCAUUUUGACAUUAAACCUCACAACAUUCUUUUAGAUGAAGACUUCUGUCCGAAAAUAUCUGAUUUUGGGCUGGCUAAACAAUCCCAAGACAAAAAGAGUACCAUCUCAAUGCUGCAUGCAAGAGGCACCAUAGGGUAUAUUGCACCAGAAGUAUUCUGCCGAAGUUUUGGAGGAGCUUCUCACAAGUCCGAUGUAUAUAGCUAUGGAAUGAUGAUUCUUGAAAUGGCUGUAGGAAGAAAGAAUGCGGAUGUCAAAGCAUCUCGCAGCAGUGAUAUAUAUUUUCCAAAUUCAAUAUACAAGCAUAUUGAACCAGGGAACGAUUUUCAACUUGAUGGGGUUGUCACCGAAGAGGAAAAAGAGUUGGUGAAAAAGAUGAUCUUAGUGAGCUUGUGGUGCAUUCAAACCAAUCCAUCCGACAGACCAUCAAUGCAUGAGGUUUUGGAAAUGUUGGAAAGUAGUACGGAAAUUUUGCAAAUUCCUCCAAAACCUUCUCUGGCUUUGCCAAAAAAAUCAGCCAUACAGUCUUCUCGGACAUCAUCAUCAGCAGGGAUCGAGGAAGUCAUGGGUGAAAUGUAUUAAUCAAGCUUGUACGACAGUCUAUCCCAGCAAUGAGCUAAGCGCAGCUGCUAAUUUUAACUAGUUAAAUUUGUGUUCGAUGAUUAAUACAUGAAGAGAAUGCUCGUAAGUUAUAAGCCAAUUUGAUAAAUCAAGUUUGUAUAUAAAUUGAGCCUUAAAUUUGUGUUCGAUGAUUAAUACGACUGCCCGCCGGCUCAGAGUGAGAUUUCUACAAUGCUGCUUCCUUAUCAAUUUAACUGCAGCUUAAAUGAAACAAUGGCGAACAAUUACUAUUUCACAUGGAACUCCAGUAUCACUCCUACUACAGCAGCCAUUUUACCUUACUUGGAAAGUUGUGGUGAGAGCGUUGUAAUUCCAGUAUGGCAAUCAACAGCUCGAGCCCUGUUGACAAGUCCGAAUUCAAUAACUCUCUCUGAAGCUCUUAAUUUUGGUUUUGGGUUGAAAUGGAAUGCUAAUAAUAGCUUGUGUGAUCAAUGUGAGCGUUCUCAAGGGGUGUGCGGACAUGACGACGGCACGAUGCAGUUCAUUUGUUAUUGCCCUGAUCGCCCUUAUCCCUUCACUUCUCCGCCGAACCAAUCGCCUACAGGUUUGUCCAAAUCCGAUCUCUAUGUUAUGUUGUUGCAGAAAUUCUAGGAUGGUAUUGUUUUGGUUUUUUAUUUCCUUUUCAACUUUUUUUUUUUUAAUAAAAACUACAGAGGAAACAGGGUGAUCUUUGGUUUAUCUUACUUCUGUAACUUCUAAAGGAAGUCGGAGGAAAAGUUCACCAUUAAUUUCAUGGGACCCCUAUGUUGCCCUAUCUUUUGGGUUGUCCGCUUAUCAAUUUUCUCUUUUUCACACUGCACGUUCUUGACUUUGUACAGGUCUCAGAAUAAUAGUACAAGUAAAUGAGGGGAAUUAGAUUUCGUCGUUAAAUCUCCAUACAUUUUUAGGUUCCAUUUCUAAUGUAUGUAUUUAAAAUCCCAGUAGCUCCUAGAUUAUAAUAUACUAUUACAUAGAUUGUAGCUACUAAAGAAAAUAUAUCAGAAGUUUUAGGGGUUAAUGGACAAGUUUGAAAUCAAAUAUUAUAGAUUACCUUUCUUGUUUUAUUAUUAUGUUCAUUAAUAAUGUCUCUUAAGUUGUUAUAUGGGGUUGAGUGUAGACUUCUCCUUUCAUUAGUGGGUAGAGAAUUUAUUUUCCAGUUGUGUCAUUGUCGAAUAAAUAAAUUUCAACACUCAGUUAUGUAAAUUUGGUAUUGCAGGAUCGCUCAAUCUCAACUUGCCCAAAAAAGUUGCCAUAGGUAAUAUGAUCUUCAAAUAAUUAUAAAUUAGUAAAUUAUAUCUGCACCAUCUUUAUUUCGUCAUAUAUAUAUCUAAUCACUUCAAAAUUUAAACAUAUUGUUUACACCACCUUUGUUUUUAAGUUUUUUAUUAAUAAACCACUUUAACACUAUAAAAUGAUCAUUUUACCCCUAAAUAAAUUAAAAGAUCAUUUUAUUUAAUAAAAUUUUAAAAAAUAAAAAAUUAUAAUUACAAAAAUACCCCAAAAUUUAAUAAAAUAAAUAAUUAUCAAAUCCAAUAUAUUAAUUUUUUAUAAUUAUAAUUUCAUUUAAAAAUUAUCAAGUUAAUUUUUUGUAAUUAUAAUUUCAUUUAAUUUGUAUAGGGAAGUUUCUCAAUAUUAAUUAUUCAAAAAUUUACAAUAAUUAUAAGGAGUUUUUCUCCUCAUAUUAUUUUUUGUAAACCUCCCUAUACUUAAUUUAAUUACAAAAAUUAAAUGAAGUUAUAAUUACAAAAAUUAUAAUUAUAGGAUGUUAAUUUUUUAAAAUUAUAAUUUUAUUUAAAAAUUAUCAUCUUAUAUUUUGAGAUUUAUUCGUUUUAUUAAAUUUAGAGGUAUUCUUACAAUUAUAAUUUUUUAUUUUUUAAAAUCUUAUAAAAUAAAAUAAUUUUUUAAGUCAUUUAGGGGUAAAUUUAUUAUUUUUAUUGUCAAAAUGAUUGAUUGAUAUAAAUUUAAAAACAAAAAUGGUGCAAAGAAUAUGUUAAAAUUUGAGAUAAUUAGAUGUACAUAUGACAAAACAAAGGUAAUACAUAGAUAAUUUACCUUAUAAAUUUCUCCUAAUUUUUCUAAUAGGCCCAAUAUGUUUUUUGAAAUUAGCCGAAAUAAUUUCAUGCAUCAUUUGUAAAAACACAUUUCUCAUAAGUCAUAACGUCACUUUGAAUACAGGGGUUUUGUCAGGUGUUGUUGGGAUUGGGGUAAUCUCUGUUCUCUUUUAUAUGCACGGGAAACCCAUUUUCUUUUUGAAGAAACAAACGCAGAAUGAUCAAGAUGUCGACGCAGUAAUAAGAAAGUACGGCUCUCUAGCCCGGAAAGGUUACAACUACUCUUUUUUUUUUUUUUUUUUUUUUGACCACAUAAUACAUAGAUAAUUUACCUUAUAAAUUUCUCCUAAUUUUUCUAAUAGGCCCAAUAUGUUUUUUGAAAUUAGCCGAAAUAAUUUCAUGCAUCAUUUGUAAAAACACAUUUCUCAUAAGUCAUAACGUCACUUUGAAUACAGGGGUUUUGUCAGGUGUUGUUGGGAUUGGGGUAAUCUCUGUUCUCUUUUAUAUGCACGGGAAACCCAUUUUCUUUUUGAAGAAACAAACGCAGAAUGAUCAAGAUGUCGACGCAGUAAUAAGAAAGUACGGCUCUCUAGCCCGGAAAGGUUACAACUACUCUUUUUUUUUUUUUUUUUUUUGACCACAAGGUAUUUUGGGGAGGGCCCCAACUGUGGGAGGCACCUUUAAACCCGUAUCACAACUCAGACUAGAAGUUUCCGCUCGAAUUCCGCUCGAACCAAGAGGCACAAGUUCUCCCAAUAAAGAUGACUUCCCUGCAACUCGAACUGGGGAAUAAAUCCAGUCAAGCCACUUAAGGGGACUUCAUUGCCAAUGGAGCCAACACUUUGUUGGUAGGUUACAACUACUUUGAUGUAAAGAAAAUGACCAACUCGUUCAGUGAUAAAGUAAGACAAGGAGGAUACGGAGUUGUGUACAGAGGAAAGCUACACGAAGGUCGCGUUGCUGCAGUAAAAGUCCUUAGCGAAUCCAAGGGGAAUGGAGAAGAGUUCAUCAAUGAAGUUGCUUGCAUCAGUGGUACUUCCCAUGUCAACAUAGUCACUCUUCUUGGUUUUUGCUGUGAAGGAAACAAAAGAGUGAGUUUAUGCCCAAUGGAUCUCUUCAUAAAUUCAUAUACGAUAAAGGAUCUAUGAGCACCAAAAAUAACCGCCUGGAAUGGACAACACUAAGCGAGAUUGUGGUUGGUGUUGCUCGAGGGUUAGAGUGCUUGAUCGCGGUUGCAACACUGGGAUUGUGCAUUUCGACAUAAAGCCUUGCAACAUUCUCUUACAUGAAGACUUCUGUCCGAAAAUUUCUGAUUUUGGUCUGGCUAAACUGUAAAAAGAAAGAAAGUAUAAUCUCAAUGCUGGACGCAAGAGGGACUGUUAGUUAUAUUGCUCCAGAAGUAUUUUGCAGAAAUUUUGGAGGAAUUUCUCACAAAUCCGAUGUCUAUGGCCUUGGAAUAACGGUUCUUGAAUUGGUUGGAGUAAGAAAUAAUACUGCUAGUGGAGUAACACACACCAGCAGUACUGAAAUGUACUUUCCAGAUUGGAUUUAAAAGCUACUUGAACCGGGAGAGGAUCUAAAACGUCAUGGUCUCGUAACCGAAGAAGAAGAAGUGAUCGUGAGAAAGAUGAUUAUAGUGUGCUUGUGUUGCAUACAGACCAAUCCAUCAGAUAGACCAUCAAUGAAUAAGGCUGUAGAGAUGCUGGAAGGUGGCCUUGAAACUUUUCAAGUUCCUCCAAAGCCGUUCUUGAAAUAAUCUUUCACAAGAUCAAUUCGACAUUCUUCCAUGACAACAACUCCUCCGUCAUCGAAUUCCAUCACAAACUCUCUUAUUGUCUUUGAAACUUAGAAGUUUGAUGUUCUAUCAUUGGGUUCAAUUUGUAAGAUUUAAUUCCAUUGGUAAGAAGUAAUUUGUUUAAGAUAAUCUUGGGUUCGAGUUUCCAUGAAUACGUGAAUUAAUAAUUAAAAAUAAAAUAAAACUGUAAGAUCGUUUUUUAAUUAUUAAAAAUAAAAAACAAAUAAGAUCUUUUAGAGUGGCACAAAGAAUUUUGUAUUAGAUCCAAUUAUCAUUGGGUUAAAGGAGUUUUGGUUUAUAAUAAAUGUCCAUGUUCUAUUUAAAAAUUUACAAAUUAAAAAAAGAGUCCUCUGAAGUUUCAUUGAGCAAGAAAUUAUUUGUUCAUAAUUUUAGUCAAUUUGAAAUAAAGUUUUUUAAUUAAAAGAUUCCAACGCCACCUAUUAGUAAGCAAAAUAUUCCAUCUUAUGCCUCUUGAGUUACUUUCCUUUUUAUUACUUUCUUUGCGUGCUUGCAAUUGGCCAAUUGAGAUUUUUUUUUUUAAUUGUGUAUUUGGUCUUCCAAGGAAAAUGCUUAGUGGCUAGAAUCGCGAGAGAAGGGCGAGGGAAACGGCAGCUUGUGCUGCCGUUUCUCCCUCCACUAUCACACGCAUUUUUAGACAAAAAAAUUAAUAAAAAAUUUCUGCACUAAGAAAACAUAAAUAAAGUAAAAAGUUAUGGCAACGUGUGGGAAUAAUAAUAUCUGUGGCGCCAUUAUACUUAGAAACAAAAAGCUUUCCUUUUCUUCUAAGCUUUUUGACUCGUUUUGGUUACCCAAAUCUCUCCCUUCUCUUCAGGGUAAUUCCCUGCAUUUAUUCUUCCUCUGUUUACACUCUCCUUAUUAUUUUUGGUAGAUUUGUCAUUGUUCUAUAUUAAUGCGUGUAAAAUUUCUAUUUUUGUGGAUUUUUUGUUUCUUUUACAAUCUUGCUUAUUUGCUCAUCCGAAUGGAUGAACAAAAUGUUAUUGGAGGAGAUAACCAACUGGUUCGCUGGGGGGGGAGUUGUUAGCUUUUGAUUGACUCGAUGUUUUGAGAAUAAAGAACCUCUGUUUCUAUUGUAUAACAUUAAACGGAAAAAGGCGUAAGCUUUUACGAAUAAAAAUUCUUACUUUUACAAUGUACUUACUUUUUGUGACAAUAUUUUUCUGCUUUGAUUUUGUUUUGGAAGAAAGCCUGAGAUAAGUGAUGUCAAUUAGCACAAGUAGAAAAUGAUAAUCUAAUGUUUUAUGUGUCUUUCUUUCAUAGUAUAUGGAAAUUAUGUAUGAGUGCAUGAGUGAGAGAGAAAUCAUGAAAUAAUAACUUGGGCGAUGACCGUGUCGUCGUCGGCGGUCAUGUUAUCGGCAGUGGUACUGUUGAGAGAAGGAAGAAAAUGGCGAGGACGGACAGGAGUGGGGUGAGAGUGGAUAAGCUGAUAUAGUUUUCAAUUUUAUCAGCAUUUUUCUAUUAUCUUUUAUUAAUUUUUUUAAUUGUUUUUUUCUUUCUUUAGAAGGGCGCAUGAUAGUGGCGCCGUUUCUCUUGCUCUUCUUUCACCUUUCUAGCCGCCUGGCACGACUCUUUCUCCAAUUGAGAUUCAAGAGAAUGGCUUAAAGACUUUUUUUAAAAAUAGUUAUUUAAUACAAGAUAAAAAUUUUUAAUUAAAAGAUUCCAACGCCACCUAUUAGUAAACAAAAAAUUCCAUCUUGUGCGUCAAGAGUUGCUUUCCUCUCUAUUACUUUAUUUGCGUUCUUGCAAUUGGCCAAUUGACAUUUUUUUCCUUUUUUUUUUUUUUUGGGUGCAUCCGCCAAUUGAGAUUCAAGAGAUGGGCUUUAAUUAAAUUUUUAAGAAAAAAAUCAGUUAUUUAAUACAAGAUAAAUUUAACGUGAAUGGAAAUACAUAAUGCUAAACUAAAGUCGCUAGGGUAUUUGGGUCAUGAUGCAAAAUGAUUACUGGUCAAAUUUAUAGCCUUUGAAAAUUUGACAAGUUCAACUCUGACGCUACUAAUACAAACUACCCACCCAAAUUGCCACCCGCCCACCCGUAUUCUUGGGUCAACCAUGCCAAAAUUAAGUCUUUGUAUUACUUUCCAUGAAUUUUCCUCUUGGGAAGUGAUGCAACUCUUUCCUACAUACUUCUAUCACAAAGAACGAGAAAUUAAAACAAUUCGUUUCUUCUAAAUUAUAUAUCCAAUUACUUGCAAGUGUCUCAUGCUCUUUCGAAAUGGGACUCCAUCUCCAUCUCCAUCUUGGUCCAAGCAUGUUCGGCUUGUUUUUCUUCGUCAUAAAUAUCAUUUUCGUCCAUGUUCCACCUCCUGUGUCCGCCAAUUAUGAGGAAUAUAAAAACUGCAGCGGCCCGUUUCGUUGUGCUAACAGAGACGAUAUUGGUUAUCCCUUCUGGGGAGGAAAUCGUCCAGAAUAUUGUGGCUACCCGGGAUUUGAGUUGAAUUGCGAGGAAGAUGUUCCUGAGAUUAACAUCUUAAACAUUACUUACAAAGUCCUGAAAUUCGAUGAAGCAAGGCGGAUAAUCACUGUUGCUAGAGAAGAUUACUGGGACCAAUACUGUCCAUCAAACUUGGUCGAUACUGCUCUAAAUUUCUCUCUUUUUAAUUAUACUCCCGCCACAGGCAACUUGACUCUCUACUACAGCUGUCCUGCCAACUUAAUGAAUGAUAUGUUAGUGAAGCCGUUGCUGGGUCCCUAUGAGUUCCGUUGCAACUCAGAUGAAUCAAACGCCGCAGAUAACUACUAUUACUCCUGGGAAUUUAGUAGUAUCUUCAAUAAAAGCUUAAUUGAGGCCAUGAAAGCUUACCUCGGAAGGUGUGGGAAGAGCGUUCUGCUGCCUC